GGAAGUAAAAGUCGCAACAAGGUCUCCGUAGGUGAACCUGCGGAGGGAUCAUUACAGAGUUCAUGCCCUACCGGGUAGAUCUCCCACCCUAUGUUAUUAUUACUUUGUUGCUUUGGCGGGCCGUUAGGCUCCGGCCCGACUACCGGCCCCGGCUGGUAAGCGCCCGCCAGAGGACCCAAAACCCUGAAUAUUAGUGUCGUCUGAGUACUAUAUAAUAGUUAAAACUUUCAACAACGGAUCUCUUGGUUCUG
rnacentral:misc_RNA from 1 species